CUGUUUAUCCCUCUUUGGAGCUGUUCAUCAAUGGCGAAUGGUUUAGGCUGCCUGAACUUCCAACUUUCAGCUAUUACUUUCAAAGUGGAGAUGACCCUCACUAUCCAAGUCCUUACAACUUCUCUCGUGUAAACGUUUGUACCUUUUCUUUUCCAUCGUUUUUGUUAAAGAUUUGUGGUGGAGGUAGUUCCAAAUCGUUUCACUCUGUUUCGCUCAAGUUUUGAGUUUAAACGUUGCAGAUCAAAUUAUUUAUGAAGCGGGAUUUAAAAAAAAAAAAGGAUAAGAUAAUCCGCACUAAAUUCAUCUAAAUUAUGAAUAUAAAAACAGAAAUUUGAACUUGGGUGUAAAAGAGAAA